GACGAACGCUGGCGGCGUGCUUAACACAUGCAAGUCGAACGGAAAGGCCCCUUUGGGGGUCCUCGAGUGGCGAACGGGUGAGUAACACGUGAGUAACCUGCCCUUGACUUCGGGAUAACUUCAGGAAACUGGGGCUAAUACCGGAUAGGAAUCCUUGCUGCAUGGUGGGGGUUGGAAAGCUUCGGCGGUUUUGGGUGGACUCGCGGCUUAUCAGCUUGUUGGUGGGGUAGUGGCUUACCAAGGCUUUGACGGGUAGCCGGCCUGAGAGGGCGACCGGCCACAUUGGGACUGAGAUACGGCCCAGACUCCUACGGGAGGCAGCAGUGGGGAAUAUUGCACAAUGGGCGGAAGCCUGAUGCAGCAACGCCGCGUGCGGGAUGACGGCCUUCGGGUUGUAAACCGCUUUCAGCAGGGGCGAAGCUUGUGGUGACGGUACCUGCAGAAGAAGCACCGGCUAACUACGUG
rnacentral:rRNA from 1 species